GUGAAUCAUCAAAUUUUUGAACGCAAAUUGCACUCCCUGGUAUUCCGGGGAGUAUGCCUGUUUGAGGGUCGGUAGAAUAAAAAAUCGAGGCAUCUCGGUUUUUUUUAAGGGGUAUGGCGGCGGAAUUGGGGCGUCUUGAAAUGUUAAGUCAUGUCAAAGUGGAUUAAAAUGUCAUCCAUCUUUUACGAUUAAAGCGUAUGUAAGAUGAAUCUUGAUUAAGAACGCGCGAUGACGUACCAUCUCAGGUAGUACGUUUGACUUUGCGUCGUCA
rnacentral:misc_RNA from 1 species